GCGUCGGGAGUGCAACGGUUCAGCACACGGUCCCGGAAAGAAUGAGAUCUCGGUUCGAAUCCAGGCUGACGCA